rnacentral:rRNA from 1 species
UACGAAGGGGGCUAGCGUUGCUCGGAAUGACUGGGCGUAAAGGGCGCGUAGGCGGAUGGCACAGUCAGAUGUGAAAUUCCCGGGCUUAACCUGGGGGCUGCAUUUGAUACGUGUUGUCUUGAGUUCGGAAGAGGGUCGUGGAAUUCCCAGUGUAGAGGUGAAGUUCGUAGAUAUCGGGAAGAACACCGGUGGCGAAGGCGGCGACCUGGUCCUUUACUGACGCUGAGGCGCGAAAGCGUGGGGAGCAAACAGG